AAUAUGGUUUAGGGGUAGAAUGAUGGUCUUCAAAACCGUAGGUAGGGGUUCGAGUCCUCUUAUUU
rnacentral:tRNA from 1 species